GCCUGUCUGUCAGUGUCGCCAGAGAUGUAGACCAAUGUUUUCGCGUAGGAGUCUGUGCUGCAUAACAAAUGUGUUUUGUUGAAAUGUCAUGUAAUCAUAUGUGAGUGUUAUUUUCAAAAACUGUAAUUCAGCUUUAUGUGGAAGGAUUUUCACUGCCUGCGAUAAUUGUUGCAUACUUGAUUUUAUAUCAUGACAGCUGAACAAUGAAUUAAGUGCAUUAUUACUGCAGUCAUUGGGUUACUAAAUAAAAAAUAAAAUAUGGCACAGAGUAGCUCCAGUGGCACGUCGUCUAGGCGGCACGGGAGGAGCGAUCACGAUACAGCUUCAUUAACAUCAAGCAGAUAUGCCGACGCCGAAUGGGAAGCCAAGGAGGCAUUACGGCAGAGAGAAUUGGAGGAAGCAAGAGCUCGCGCAACCCAGAUGGAAAAGACGAUGAGAUGGUGGUCUGAUUGUACUGCAAACUGGAGAGAAAAAUGGAGCAAGGUACGUAAUGAACGUAACAAGGCCAGAGAAGAAUCGAAACAGUUGAGGAUACGACUAGAAGCAGCAAUGAAAGAUGCUGGAACCUGCAGGAGGGAGCGUCAAGAACUAGAAACAGAAAAUGAGCGGCUAAGACAAGAGUUAGAACAAGCACACAUGUUACUACUGAAGGGCGCAGGGAAAUCAGGCAGUGCAUGGGCACCAAAUAGUAAUUUGCCAGCCGAAGACCAUGAAGCAGAGGAGUAUGUUCUUCCUCGGCACACUACAGAACUGUGCCAUGCAGGAGUGGUGGGGCGUGAAAAUGCAGUUGAUGGAGAUGCUCAAGAGCCAGCAGCUGUAUCAACAGGUUUGUCAGCAUCUGAUGCAGCCUUGGGUGAUAUGGACCCCACAGCAGCCCUAGGACCACGUGACCCUGCAGCAGAUGGUGGAGAAGAUCUGGAUCGUGAUCAUGACUGCAUGUUGCAGAAGAUGUCUAUGCUACAGCUUAGAUUAGAUGAGGCUUCAAAGACUAUACAGAUUGAGAGAGAAGAAAAAGGAGCACUGCAACGAGCUUUGGACAGGUUACGAGGAGAUCUGGCUGGUGAGACAAGGGUGCAAGACGGUGGUAUAGCAGGACGACUUGCCCUCCUUAGAGCAGAGCUCGAACGCAUGCAGGCAGAAAAUUCUGCUGAGUGGAGAAGAAGUGAAAGCCUGGAGACUGAGAAACUUGCCUUGGAGAGGGAGAACAAAAAGCUACGAGCUGAACUUCGUGACGCAAAUGAGCGACUUGAACGUAUGCAGCGCAAUGUUGCAGCAGGACGUUUGCCUUUGCCUUCAUCAUCAGUAGUGGAAACAGAACUGCGUGAAGAUCUUGCUGACAGAGUUAAGGAGCUGACUGAACUGAAACAGGCACACUCAAAGCUAAAAAAGGUAUUUCAAGAAAAGUCAACAGAACUUGCACAUGCAGCAAGACGGGCAGAACAGUACGAGGCAGAAGUAAAGAGACUGCGUGCUCGUGUUGAGGAAGUGAAAAGGGAACUAACAGCAGCAGAGGAUGAAGUUGAUGCUGCCUCAAACAGCAUACGAAAACUCCAGAGAGCAAAUGAUGAAUUACAGGAACAAGUAGAGACGCUGCAGGUACAACUUGAACAUUUGCACUCCAGAGACAGCCUGUGUCUUGAGGAGACCUCCUGAGAGCAUGCUGUCCCUGCCAGCGAAGCUCUUGGCAGGGUCCUCUAUGGCGACAGCACUGUAGGCACACUCUGAGUGUGUUGCCAGGUUCCAGGUUCCCAGUUCUUCAAGUUCUCAUCGUAAUGGCCAAGAUUUUGCCUUUCGUGGAGAACUGAGUGAUGAUGAAGUUAUAUAUUAAAUGAUUUGUGGGUAUUUGUCAUUGCACUUCCAUUUCUGGUAACUUGUGAAAACAUAUUGCAAUACAACUGUAUAGAAAUGGCAUUUUUUCAAAAUAAGUAAAUAACAGUUGAAUUUAUAGUAACUAGAAAAAUAUAGCUUCAGUGAAGCAUAUAGUAUUUUUCUAUAUAUUUGACUGUAAUUCAUGGUGGAAUUGAAUGACUGCAUUCCAUUGCAUAUUUGUGCUAUUAAAACUGUAAUUAGACAAAAAGUGGUUGACAUAUUGAAUGAUGAAUUAGCAGUUGUGAUCAUUUGUCUGAGCUCACUUCAGCACUUACAAUUUAGAAAAAAAAAAAACCAGCAAAUAUUUCAGGAAAAAGUAGCUGUCUAACAAAGCUCACUUCUCAGAUCUUGGGUGCUCUUUCAUAUCUGAACAUUCAAAUGAAGCAGAACAGAAUGCUAAUCAUCUGUGAAUGAACUGUGGAGUUUUAUAAUAGACACAUAAUGGCAGAGGUGGUUCCCCUUCUUAAGAUCUAGUCGAACUUGUGGGGAUGCUGAUAAUGCUUCAUGGUAUAUUUGGCUGGAACCUCCCAUGACUUAGCUCACAGGUGAGUAGCAGACUGAAUUGACAUGGAAGAUUCUUUUGUCCCAGUCUUGAGCCCAUCAAAUUGUUGGCUCUCCUGUAGCUUGAGGUGCUAGUAUUUGAGUUGCUCCACUUUGUACAAUAGAUGACUUCUGUAAAUUUUCUGCUUGUUAUUGAAAAAUUUUACUUAGGAAAUUGCAUUUUGUAUUUUAGUGAGUUCAGUUUUCCUAUGUACAAAUGUGACUGCAGAAACAUAUAUUUAUUUAUGUAAGAGAAGACUUGUGAUAUAUAAACUCAUGUAAUUAAUGAAUAAUAUAAUUUAAAUUUACUAGAUCCCUUUCUGUAAAAAGUGAUGCAAGUUUUUAUAUUAAAAAAAUCACUUGAGGUAACUGUUAAAUUACAAAGAGAACGUAUGGCUGGCCAUUUCAUCAUUCACUCAAUUAGUUCCUGUUUUACUGUUUGGAUCAUCAUCUUUUCCUCUCCUUUUCCUGGUUAUUACUUACACUUUUCAUACCACUUGUCAUUUCUCUUGUUUUUAAUCCAUCUCACUGUUCUUCUGUCUUCCUUAAGCCGUCGGCACACGGACCGUGCUGCCGAACGUUGAGCGUUGAGCGUGCCGAGUUUCUGACGUCACAGCAUGGAAUAGCACGCUCGGGAGUCUUUCCGAACGUGCAGAGCAAUAUCUGGCAUGUCAGAUAUUCUCAGCGUGCGUCUGAGCGUUGACCAAUGACAUGGCACAACGCCACCUACGUCACACGCACGCCGUCUCCCUUCAGUACAGAGUUGUGACGCGCCAUAUUGUCAUUCAUUUCAAGCCUAUACGUAUAUAUGCCGUUCCGAGCACCAGCAAAUUGAGAAUCACCGCAAAACUCAUUGUUAACUGUGUGAUUCGUUCCAAUACAUAUUCGCGGCAAAAUAAUUAUUGUAACUUGCGUAUAAUGAGAUUAGGCUAUCUGAAGGCAGUGACACACUGAAGAUCCACCCAAAACCCAUUUUUCUUGGUACAAUGUGUUAUAAUUAAAUUUCAGUUAGUAAAAUAUCUACGAUUAAAGUUUCUGGCAAGAGGUAAGGUACUAUCAUUAGACACAGCAGAUGUGAUGUUGGUAUAGCGUAAUGAAUAGCAUCAUUGUAUACUAAUGAGGUUUUUUUGUUGGGGCGGUGGUUCGCGUCCUGACACGACAAAUUUUUUUUUCCUAACAUUCGCGUUUUUAUUUUCUUUUACGCUUUGUAAUUGACAUGUUGCAAAGAUUCUGCUACUGGGUACGAACAGUGAUCAAGUAAGACUGACCUUGGGAUUUUACUAAAAUGUGGGAAUGAUGAAAUAAUGUUUAUCUUAUGCGGAAAGUAUUCCAAUUUUGUAACGCACUGUUUGUAAUGGAACUUUUAUAAGCCUGUGUCCUUAUUGAUUGGACAUGGUACUUUCCUUUUCGUGGACGAUGGAAGAAAUGUGCAUUUUAAUAGAGCUAACGUGGGAAUUUUACGCGCCCGUUGAGUAAACAGUGCGAUUAACGAACUAGAAACAUCCUUCAACUGUCGCUUGAGUGCGUUGCGAUCGCGUAUACCACGUUGGGGUCCACGUACCGUAUGCACAAGUCGCAUCAUUCCUGAGCGUUGAGCAGCACGUUGAACUGGGCACGCUCAACGUUAACGUUCGACAGCACGGUCCGUGUGCCGACGGCUUUAGGCUUGAAGCUUCCACAGAGCUGAUUGUGUACUAUAUUUGAGCUCUUAGUGUCUCUGAUACCUCCUACUUCAUCCAUAUCUGUCCCAGCCCUAUUACAUGUGAUUCUUCUCUACCUGAUGUCUGAGUGAUCUGCGUCCCUUUUCUAACCUUCCCCACCAUAUUUCUCUUUCCUCCCUGAGGAAGGAACUAACAGAUCUGAAAGCUUUAUAUAUGGGUAUCUAUUGGCAGUACUUAGAAUUUUGCCUCUUGAAAUAAAUACUGCCCAGCCAUUCUGUCUCCUUAUAAUGAUAUAAUUAUUUAAGUGAUAGUAAUUUUUUUACAGAAAAUGACAUACAAGUUUGUGUGUUCACUCACAGUUCUUGUCUGUGGAGAGUUAUGUGUCUUGUAAAAUUUAAUGUUAUAAAGCAGUUUGAAAUGUCAGAAAGUUUUUUUCUUUAUUGAUGCCGCUUUCCUGUACUUGCCUUUUGAGAGUGGUAUUAAUAUUAAUUCCUACAGAAGCUUGAAGUUUUAUUACAUUUGUAUCAUUUUACAAUUACAGUGCUACAUUGUCUGUGUAAUGCGUGUAUCAUGAAAGGAUAAGGAUACAAGGCAGAAGUUGUCUGUCACUAGCCUGUUCAACAAAUAUAUAAAUAAAUAAAAGGGGACAUAAAUGGGGAUAUGAACAUCAGCAAUAAACAUGUGAAUGGGAACAGAAAUAUUCAAU